GGCGGGGCUUUGCUCUAAGGCGGGAAGGGAUUUACCAUGACGUCGUCGUGUCUAUUUAAGAUGGCGGCCUAAGGAAUAGCGCAUCACAUUCACACUCCUGUGACUUCAUUUGCCGACGCUUUUUCUUCAAAAAAAAAAAUCGAUCCUUUAAAUCCACUUUUCGUGUUUUGAGGCAGAGACACGUUGACAAUAUGACAAAACAAGCUUUGCCAUCCAAUCCUGCUCCUCCAACCCCAACCUACUCCCUCAUCGGUCUGGAGCUGCGUCACCUCGGAGACCAGCUCUACUGGACAUACUGCCUGCUGAGGAUUCUGAUGGGGGAAUCCAACGACACAUGACAGGAAAGUGCGUUUGUUGGCUGUACAUAAAAUAAAGCUACAAAAGAGCAAGAAAAAUAAAACAGAGGCAGUUUUGAAAGAGGAUGAACACCCUGAUGGAAAGGCUGGACGAAGUCACCUGGGCGAGUGUGCUGGAUGAGCUAAGAAGACCUUGGGUUGGAGCCUUCACCUCAAAUGUAGCGACUGUCUUAUCGAGGGGACCGCAGUGAAGACAAAUCAUUUUUUUCUGAAUGCAAAUAAGUCUGGUUGUAUCUGUGAACUAUGAUUACGGUGGGCACGGAGGAUAAACAGGCACCACAUAAGGUGCAUAUACCUAAUAAAAGGUGCCUUUUAAAACACAA